rnacentral:misc_RNA from 1 species
CAACCCUCAAGCUCUGCUUGGUCUUGGGCUUUCCUGCUAGCGAUGGCAGGCCCUAAAAUUAGUGGCGGAGCCGCUGUGGUCCUGAGCGUAGUAACAUACCCUCGCUACUGGUCCCCGGCGUGCCUCCUGCCAAAACCCCCCAAUUUACUAUGG